UCGGGAAUUUUGCGCAAUGGGGGAAACCCUGACGCAGCAAUACCGCGUGUGGGAUGAAGGCCUUCGGGUCGUAAACCACUUUUUUCGGGGACGAUAAUGACGGUACCCGAAGAAUAAGCCACGGCUAACUACGUGCCAGCAGCCGCGGUAAUACGUAGGUGGCAAGCGUUGUCCGGAUUUACUGGGCGUAAAGCGCGCGCAGGCGGUGAAUGAAGUCGAAAGUGAAAGCCCCGAGCUCAACUCGGGAACUGCUUUCGAAACCAGUUCACUUGAAGGUGGAAGAGGGAAGUGGAAUUCCGAGUGUAGCGGUGGAAUGCGUAGAUAUUCGGAGGAACACCAGAGGCGAAGGCGACUUCCUGGUCCAAUCUUGACGCUGAGGCGCGAAAGCUAGGGGAGCAAACAGG
rnacentral:rRNA from 1 species